CCUACGGGAGGCAGCAGUGAGGAAUAUUGGUCAAUGGUCGGGAGACUGAACCAGCCAAGCAGCGUGAGGGAGGAAGGUACAAAGUGUCGUAAACCUCUUUUAUCAGGGAACAAAGACUGUGACGCGUCCCCGUAUGCGUGUACCUUAAGAAAAAGCAUCGGCUAACUCCGUGCCAGCAGCCGCGGUAAUACGGAGGAUACGCGCGUUAUCCGGAUUUAUUGGGUGUAAAGGGUGCGCAGGCCGGCUGUUAAGUCUGCGGUCAAAUGCCGGGGCUCAACCCCGGCCUGGCAGUGGGAACUGGCAGUCUCGAGUUGGAGAGAAGUAUGCGGAAUUCGUGGUGUAGCGGUGAAAUGCUUAGAUAU
rnacentral:rRNA from 1 species